CACAUCCUCACAUGAACACAAUAUCAUUGGUUAAUCUAAUAAAACGUGAUUUGUGUUAUUCGUUAUUAUAAGGGUGGGUAUGUGCCUACUUUAGGCCAAGGUUUCCCAACUGGUAAUGCAUGUGCUCAAUGGUGAACAUUUGAAUAAGCAAUAAAGUGUCACAACGUUACGAGUAAAUGGGUAUUGUCCUUCAAAAGGCAGGUUUUGUUGUAGGGCAGGUAGUGUUAAAAAAAAAUGUAAUUAAGCAACUGUAAUA